AGUGGCGGACGGGUGAGUAACGCGUGGGUAACCUGCCUUGUACAGGGGGAUAACAGUUGGAAACGGCUGCUAAUACCGCAUAAGCGCACAGUACCGCAUGGUACGGUGUGAAAAACUCCGGUGGUAUGAGAUGGACCCGCGUCUGAUUAGCUAGUUGGUGGGGUAACGGCCCACCAAGGCGACGAUCAGUAGCCGACCUGAGAGGGUGACCGGCCACAUUGGGACUGAGACACGGCCCAG
rnacentral:rRNA from 1 species